UGGGGAAUAUUGCACAAUGGAGGGAACUCUGAUGCAGCGACGCCGCGUGAACGAAGAAGGCUUUCGAGUCGUAAAGUUCUUUUAUAUGGGAAGAUAAUGACGGUACCAUAAGAAAAAGCCCCGGCUAACUACGUGCCAGCAGCCGCGGUAAUACGUAGGGGGCUAGCGUUGUCCGGAAUCACUGGGCGUAAAGGGUUCGCAGGCGGAAAUGCAAGUCAGGUGUAAAAGGCAGUAGCUUAACUACUGUAAGCAUUUGAAACUGCAUAUCUUGAGAAGAGUAGAGGUAAGUGGAAUUUUUAGUGUAGCGGUGAAAUGCGUAGAUAUUAAAAAGAAUACCGGUGGCGAAGGCGACUUACUGGGCUCAUUCUGACGCUGAGGCUCGAAAGCGUGGGGAGCGAACAGG
rnacentral:rRNA from 2 species